AUUGAACGCUGGCGGCAUGCCUUACACAUGCAAGUCGAACGGUAACAGGUUAAGCUGACGAGUGGCGAACGGGUGAGUAAUGUAUCGGAACGUGCCCAGUCGUGGGGGAUAACUGCUCGAAAGAGCAGCUAAUACCGCAUACGACCUGAGGGUGAAAGCGGGGGAUCGCAAGACCUCGCGCGAUUGGAGCGGCCGAUAUCAGAUUAGGUAGAUGGUGGGGUAAAGGCCUACCAAGCCUACGAUCUGUAGCUGGACUGAGAGGACGACCAGCCACACUGGGACUGAGACACGGCCCAGACUCCUACAGCAGGCAGCAGUGGGGAAUUUUGGACAAUGGACGCAAGUCUUAUCCAGCCAUGCCGCGUGCGGGAAGAAGGCCUUCGGGUUGUAAACCGCUUUUUUCAGGGAAGAAAAGUUUCUGGCUAAUACCUGGGACUCCUGACGGUACCUGAAGAAUAAGCACCGGCUAACUACGUGCCAGCAGCCGCCGUAACAC
rnacentral:rRNA from 1 species